rfam:Camelus ferus unplaced genomic scaffold scaffold1089, whole genome shotgun sequence.
GAGGGUAUAGCUCAAGAGAUAGAGCACAUGCUUACAACACAGGAGGUCCUGGGUUCAAUCCCCAGUAUCUCCU